rnacentral:rRNA from 1 species
GUACUCCGGGGAUAACAGGCUGAUACCGCCCAAGAGUUCAUAUCGACGGCGGUGUUUGGCACCUCGAUGUCGGCUCAUCACAUCCUGGGGCUGAAGUAGGUCCCAAGGGUAUGGCUGUUCGCCAUUUAAAGUGGUACGCGAGCUGGGUUUAGAACGUCGUGAGACAGUUCGGUCCCUAUCUGCCGUGGGCGCUGGAGAACUGAGGGGGGCUGCUCCUAGUACGAGAGGACCGGAGUGGACGCAUCACUGGUGUUCGGGUUGUCAUGCCAAUGGCACUGCCCGGUAGCUAAAUGCGGAAGAGAUAAGUGCUGAAAGCAUCUAAGCACGAAACUUGCCCCGAGAUGAGUUCUCCCUGACCCUUUAAGGGUCCUGAAGGAACGUUGAAGACGACGACGUUGAUAGGCCGGGUGUGUAAGCGCAGCGAUGCGUUGAGCUAACCGGUACUAAUGAACCGUGAG